GAUGAACGCUGGCUACAGGCUUAACACAUGCAAGUCGAGGGGAAACGACGGGGAAGCUUGCUUCCCCGGGCGUCGACCGGCGCACGGGUGAGUAACGCGUAUCCAACCUGCCUCUGACUGAGGGAUAACCCGUCGAAAGUCGGCCUAAUACCUCAUGGCAUCGUCUGCGGGCAUCCAACGACGAUUAAAGAUUUCAUCGGUCAGGGAUGGGGAUGCGUCUGAUUAGCUAGUUGGCGGGGUAACGGCCCACCAAGGCGACGAUCAGUAGGGGUUCUGAGAGGAAGGUCCCCCACAUUGGAACUGAGACACGGUCCAAACUCCUACGGGAGGCAGCAGUGAGGAAUAUUGGUCAAUGGGCGAGAGCCUGAACCAGCCAAGUAGCGUGCAGGAUGACGGCCCUAUGGGUUGUAAACUGCUUUUAUGCGGGGAUAAAGUGAGGGACGUGUCCUUCAUUGCAGGUACCGCAUGAAUAAGAACCGGCUAAUUCCGUG
rnacentral:rRNA from 1 species